UAGGGAAUAUUGGACAAUGGGCGAAAGCCUGAUCCAGCAACGCCGCGUGAAUGAUGAAGGCCUUAGGGUUGUAAAAUUCUUUCGCUAGGGAAGAUAAUGACUGUACCUAGUAAAGAAGCCCCGGCUAACUCCGUGCCAGCAGCCGCGGUAAUACGGAGGGGGCUAGCGUUGUUCGGAAUUACUGGGCGUAAAGCGUGCGUAGGCGGAUUGUUAAGUAGGGGGUGAAAUCCCAGGGCUCAACCCUGGAACUGCCCUCUAAACUGGCAAUCUCGAGUUCUGGAGAGGUAAGUGGAAUUCCUAGUGUAGAGGUGAAAUUCGUAGAUAUUAGGAGGAACACCAGAGGCGAAGGCGGCUUACUGGACAGAUACUGACGCUGAGGCACGAAAGUGUGGGGAGCAAACAGGAUUAGAUACCCCCGUAGUCC
rnacentral:rRNA from 1 species